rnacentral:rRNA from 1 species
CCUACGGGUGGCUGCAGUGAGGAAUAUUGGUCAAUGGGCGCAAGCCUGAACCAGCCAUCCCGCGUGAAGGAAGAAGGUGCUAUGCGUUGUAAACUUCUUUUCCAGAGGAAUAAAAUUUCGUACGUGUACGGGACUGAAGGUACUCUGGGAAUAAGCAUCGGCUAACUCCGUGCCAGCAGCCGCGGUAAUACGGAGGAUGCAAGCGUUAUCCGGAUUUAUUGGGUUGAAAGGGUAAGUAUAAGUAAGAGGUGAAAUCCUGCAGCUUAACUGUAGAAUUGCCAUUGAUACUGUUAUUCUUGAGUAUGGUCAAGGUAGGCGGAAUGUGUAAUGUAGCGGUGAAAUGCUUAGAUAUUACACAGAACACCGAUUGCGAAGGCAGCUUGCUGGGCCAUUACUGACGCUGAUGCACGAAAGCGUGGGGAUCGAACAGGAUUAGAUACCCCGGUAGUC